ensembl:lncRNA
AUUUAAACAGUUCUCUGUUCGUACAAUUGAGAAAUAAAGUGAUCUUAAUCUUAUUACUCGCUUUUCUCUCUCUCUUUCUCCCUACAGAGCACUACCACCUGAACAAUUCAGCCUUCUAUCCAGGAAUGCCUCACCCCCACAGCAACCUCAGUGGACUGGGCCUCAACAAGUACACCUCCCUCAGGGCUGUGGCGGACACUGCCUCUGGGGGCUACUAUAAGAGCUACCCUUUGAUGGACUUCUCCCAGUACCAGGCAGGACCUUCAGCCUUCCAGCCCAUCUCCCUGCACCCCAAAGACAAGUCCUACCUACACCAAGACCACCACCAGCUCUCCUCCCAGCACAACCUCCACGCCCCCCUCUCCAUCUCCAUCCCCCAGAGCCACCUGGAGAGGUCCUGUUUGCCCAAGACCACCAGCCACCCCCUGUUCUCCAGCUCAGCCUUCAAAGCCUGGGACACCAGUGGACGCCACGUCCAGAGGCAGACCUCCCACCCUGGGCACAUCUCGGCCCACCGGCAUGCCUACUCCACCAGAAGACAGCACAGUGUAGAGAAUUUCCCGGAGCUGUUCAACCACCCUGUGCCGUACAGCCACCCAUCCUCCUACCACCACACCAGGCAUAAGAGCUACUCCACCAACAGCAAGACGGAGGUCACUGUCUGAGCAUGGAACUCUGAGUUCCCCUGUGCAGACAAAAACAUAGAAACAGAUAAAAAUAUGUGCAACAAUGCAUCAGCAUCGCCACUUUAGUACAAUAACUCAACCACAGACAUCAUUACGACAUUGAUAAGGCAAGAGAAACACUGUCGCUCUCUGAACACCUCUGAGCCUCAGAACACGGACACUCUCGGUCUCUAUGUCCACCACAACUCUGUGUGGCUCUAAACCUUUCGCUAACUAGCUACAUCUCUCCAUGCAUUACUCUGUGGUCUUGUUCUUCCUCCUAUAUCCUCUAUUUCCCACUCCCACAACAAUGUCCCAGCCCCCCUCCUCCACCCAUAAAAGCAACGUGUUCAGGCCAUUAGAGGGAUGAUAGCACCCCAGGGCCACAUUAAUUCAACAGGGACAAUGCCAUUGUCACGUCAGCUCCAAUCAGCCUCUGCUCCAGCGCUAGAAAAGAGAGCGAGAGGGAGAGAGAACAAGGUAUGGAGAGGGAGAGGGAGAUCACUCCAAGGAUCUUCGAGAAAAGCGGAUGAAGGGAAAGGACAAAGAACAUUUGGGGGGGGGGGGGGGGGGGGGGGUCUGGAGACUGUCUAGCCUGGAUGCCAGUCUGUUUCUUCCCUCUUGCCAGCUCCUUGUGGAAUUGUCAUGGCUUGACAAUGAUAGUGGAGUAGGCAAAAGUAUAAACCGAUCUGGGACCAGGCUAGAGAAUAUUUCUGAGCGCAGGUCAUAUGUGAAAUCAGUGGAAGUAAUUCACUGCAGCUUCUUUCACCCCAGAGUGGCGAAGGUAUUUCUGUGUAUUCCCCCUGAUGAACGGACAGUAAAAGGGCACGGACUACAGCUCUAGAGGUGUUACCAGACUAUUUAAAUAGCAUGGGAAGCGCCCCAUUCUACAAGUGGUGCAUAUUGGUUGACCAGAACAAUGAUUAACCACUGAAGGACAGCACUAAGAAGAAUAGAGAAAUAUAACUCCAGUUAAACAGUAGGAUACUUUUAUUAGGGCAUGAGAUACAGGUGCAACUAGAACUAAAUGCCACAAAAUAGGCCUGGUAAUAGAAAUACCUCUAGUCAGUGGCAGUAGUUCUAAAACCAAGACGAUGGGACGGAAAUGUGUAAUUAGGAUCAACGAAGCCAAAUCGAUACUACUGCCUCUUGGAAGGUAGGAGUUGAGCACAAACAAACUUCAGAUGAAUCCACUUCCGGAAGUGGAACGCUAAUGAAGGCAAUGAAUACAACUACGCUCUAUACAUGAGUCAUUUAUAUAUUUAUUUUAAUUGAACCUUUAUUUUACUAGGCAAGUCAGUUAAGAACAAAUUCUUAUAUACAAUGACGGCCUACACCCUAGUCAUGAUGAUGAUGCACUACAACCUCCUACCUCGCACAUCCCUCCCCCUCAUCUUCUCUCUAUUCCUCAUCAUCUUCUCUCUAUUCCUCAUCUCACCUCCUUAUCUUCUGUCGAUUCCUCCUCUCUGUAAGAUGUGCGUGUUGGCGGCAGGGAAGUCAGGUGCAGGAGAAUGAACUUGGUAUAAACCAAGUUAUUUAUUAAGAACUCACAAACAAACUCCAAUAACCAAAAUAUACCAAAAGAAUUCAAAUAAAAUGGGUACAAAACCUGUUGUGCACCAACACAUACUAGCACUAACAUACAAUCAAACAAUCUCCAACAAGGAUAUGAGGGUU